CUCCCGUCUCCCGGGGUGACAGACAUGUAAUGCUUUCAGCGGUAAUCCCGCUCUCUCUCUCUCUCUUUCGCUCUCAGCAGAGCUCUUUGGUGUCUCGUGCAAAACAGUUUCCCCCCCCCCCAGAUUAUCUUUGGAACGAUGCAAAUGAGGACUGGAUUGUAGGGCUUAGUGUCCAUGUGAAAGUCACAUAGCAAAUUACGGGGUUCAUAUUGCACACUGCAUGCUCUGCAUGAUUUAUGUGCAUGAUUCAGCCUCUAAUACCUUUUACCUACUUUUACCUCAGGUGGUGUUGUGCCUGGUUAUGGAGCUGGACAGGCCUACCCACAGGCCUACCCAGGAUAUGGAGGUGUACUGUCGCCACAGCAAGCUAAAGCAGCCAAGUACGGUAAUCUGGGAGGAUUCUUGGGUGCUGGCUAUAGAGGUGGAGCUGCAUGCCAAGGCAAAUACUGUGGCCGGAGGAGAAAGUGAAAGAUCUCUUGAGAUGUGAACUGACCUCAAGAAACAAU
rnacentral:lncRNA from 1 species